rnacentral:rRNA from 1 species
UGAGGAAUAUUGGACAAUGGGGGCAACCCUGAUCCAGCCAUGCCGCGUGCAGGAUGAAGCAUCUAUGGUGUGUAAACUGCUUUUAUACGGGAAGAAACCGCCCCUCGUGAGGGGCAUUGACGGUACCGUAGGAAUAAGGAUCGGCUAACUCCGUGCCAGCAGCCGCGGUAAUACGGAGGAUCCAAGCGUUAUCCGGAAUCAUUGGGUUUAAAGGGUCCGUAGGCGGCCCAGUAAGUCAGUGGUGAAAUCUCCCGGCUCAACCGGGAAAUGGCCAUUGAUACUGCCGGGCUUGAAUUACCAGGAAGUAACUAGAAUAUGUAGUGUAGCGGUGAAAUGCUUAGAGAUUACAUGGAAUACCAAUUGCGAAGGCAGGUUACUACUGGUGGAUUGACGCUGAUGGACGAAAGCGUGGGUAGCGAACAG